rnacentral:lncRNA from 1 species
CGAGGCAGAAAGUGGUUAGAUAGUAAAUAGUUCAGAAAAGAGAAAAAUUUAUUACCCUAGGGUGAUGAAAGAACAUUUUCCAGGGUCAGUGUGUUUAAACUGUGUGUUAAAGCAACCUAGGCAUUGAAAGUGUAGUGAAGAAAGAAAGCACAGUAUUGCCAGUGCUUGUUGGGGAACAGUGAAGUUCAGCUGGGCUGGUCCACUAGCUGCACAAAGAAUAGUGUAAGAUCCAGGAAAGUAGAUCAAGUCUAGACAGUACAGGGUCUUUAUUCCAGGCUAAGGACUUUUUUCUGUAUAAAUUAGAGUUUUAGUUGGGGUGCUGAGUACAAAGCAGUGUUUGAAGGGAAUCAAACUAGACUACUGAAGUAGAUGAGCGUAUAUUACCUAUUACAGUUAUUUGAAAUCGUUUCCAACGGAGCCAUCCUGGAUUUUUCUUCCCUGAAUCAGUGGAAUUGGCAGAUUGUCAUGCUAGGGUCUAGGAGAGCCAGGAUUAGAUGCAAAGAUCAGGAGAGCCAAGUCCAAUGAGCCAGCGCGGAGCAUAUAACCAGAACCUAUGCUUCUGAUGGCACCUAAGAUCAAAGGGCAAGUUUCCAAUUCAGAAGCCCAGAAGUGCUGGAAGGCAAGGCCCUGAGGCACAAUAGGAAAGAAAUCAGGACACACAUAGGGAGCAAAUCAAGAGGCCAUCAGAAACUAGGAAGCAUUGACAGUGGUCCCUAGAUAAAAUUGUGAAGUAGGCCAAGGUUAUUGUUAGUGACUCUGGUUGACAAUUAAUCUAUUGGUUUGAUGAUGGCUUAAAGCAGUGGUUCUGGGCCAGGAGAUGCACAUCAGUAUCACCCGCAGAACUUAAUAAGUGUACCAUGGAGCCGGCCCCAUGGCUGAGUGGUUAAGUUCGUGCGCUCCACUUUGGUGGCCCAGAGCACAGACCUAUCACCACUCAUCAAGUCAUGCUUUGGCGGCAUCCCACAUAGAGUAACUAGAAUGACUUACAACUAGGAUAUACAACUAUGUACUGG